GGAUUGUGGCUCAGUGGUAGAGCGCUUACCUAGCACAUGCAAGGCCCUGGGUUUGAUCCUCAGCACCA
rnacentral:tRNA from 1 species